rnacentral:rRNA from 1 species
CUCCCAAAGCGUAACGGAGGAGCACGAAGGUUAGCUAAUCCUGGUCGGACAUCAGGAGGUUAGUGCAAUGGCAUAAGCUAGCUUGACUGCGAGCGUGACGGCGCGAGCAGGUGCGAAAGCAGGUCAUAGUGAUCCGGUGGUUCUGAAUGGAAGGGCCAUCGCUCAACGGAUAAAAGGUACUCCGGGGAUAACAGGCUGAUACCGCCCAAGAGUUCAUAUCGACGGCGGUGUUUGGCACCUCGAUGUCGGCUCAUCACAUCCUGGGGCUGAAGUAGGUCCCAAGGGUAUGGCUGUUCGCCAUUUAAAGUGGUACGCGAGCUGGGUUUAGAACGUCGUGAGACAGUUCGGUCCCUAUCUGCCGUGGGCGCUGGAGAAUUGAGGGGGGCUGCUCCUAGUACGAGAGGACCGGAGUGGACGCAUCACUGGUGUUCGGGUUGUCAUGCCAAUGGCACUGCCCGGUAGCUAAAUGCGGAAGAGAUAAGUGCUGAAAGCAUCUAAGCACGAAACUUGCCCCGAGAUGAGUUCUCCCUGAGACUU